rnacentral:rRNA from 1 species
AUUGAAAGCUGGCGGCAGGCCUAACACAUGCAAGUCGAACGCGUGGCGGACGGGUGCGUCAUGUCUGGGAAACUGCCCGAGGGUGGGGUAUCAUUACUGGUAACGGUAGCCAAUACCGCCUACCACCGGAUCUGCCCAGAUGGGAUGUGCUAGUAGGUGGGGUACCGGCUCACCUGGGCGACGAUCCCUAGCUGGUCUGAGAGGAUGACCAUCCGCACUGGUGCGGAGACACGGUCCAGACUCCUGCGGGAGUCAGCAGGGGGGGAUAUUGCACAAUGGGCGCAAGCCUGAUGCAGCCAUGCCGCGUGUAUGAAGAAGGCCUUCGGGUUGGAAAGUACUUUCGGCGGGGGAGCUUUACUCGCAGAGGAGGCAUCGGCUAACUCCGUGCCAGCAGCCGCGGUAAUAC